rnacentral:rRNA from 1 species
GACGAACGCUGGCGGCGUGCUUAACACAUGCAAGUCGAACGGUGAUGGAUGGAGCUUGCUCUGUUCUGAUCAGUGGCGAACGGGUGAGUAACACGUGAGUAACCUGCCCCUGACUCUGGAAUAACUUCGGGAAACCGAAGCUAAUACCGGAUAUGACACAGAGCUGCAUGGCUUCUGUGUGGAAAGUUUUUCGGUUGGGGAUGGACUCGCGGCCUAUCAGCUUGUUGGUGAGGUAAUGGCUCACCAAGGCGACGAUGGGUAGCCGGCCUGAGAGGGCGACCGGCCACACUGGGACUGAGACACGGCCCAGACUCCUACGGGAGGCAGCAGUGGGGAAUAUUGCACAAUGGGCGAAAGCCUGAUGCAGCGACGCCGCGUGAGGGAUGAAGGCCUUCGGGUUGUAAAGCUCUUUCGGCCGGGAAGAAAUCGUAUGGGCUAAUACCCUGUGCGGAUGACGGUACCGGCAUAAGAAGCACCGGCUAACUAC